rnacentral:rRNA from 1 species
UACGGGGGGGGCAAGCGUUGUUCGGAAUUACUGGGCGUAAAGGGCUCGUAGGCGGCCAACUAAGUCAGACGUGAAAUCCCUCGGCUUAACCGGGGAACUGCGUCUGAUACUGGAUGGCUUGAGUUUGGGAGAGGGAUGCGGAAUUCCAGGUGUAGCGGUGAAAUGCGUAGAUAUCUGGAGGAACACCGGUGGCGAAGGCGGCAUUCUGGACCGACAUUGACGCUGAGGAGCGAAAGCCAGGGGAGCAAACGGG